AGUUGGAGCGGGAUGCGGGCGAAAACCGCGCACACCUUUCCUCAUCCCGCUCCAGGGAAU
rnacentral:sRNA from 1 species